rnacentral:tRNA from 1 species
GCCCAGGUGGCGGAAUUGGCAGACGCGCUAGGUUCAGGUCCUAGUGUCCUUAAACGGACGUGGAGGUUCGAGUCCUCUCUUGGGCAC